GAUCGAAUUUGUAUUAUUAAGCUAACUAGUGUUGUCAAAAACCACUAAUCUAUCAACUGAUUAUUCAAAUUCAAACUUCAUUGUGUGACAUAACGCCCUCUGCACAUAGCACUGAAGUACUCGAAGCCGCUAACCUUCGUUGUAACAUAAACAGUACAUCAUCAAACAUAACCUGAUUAAACUGUCACCGCACGAAUCUAUAGCGAACACGUUAAUGAACGAAAGGGUCUGAAAUGUCAUUUAAUUCGAUUCCUUGAACAAGGGUGUAAGCCCUUUGUUGGUAAGACGCAGCGGCCUUUGUUUCAGGGGAAUACGAAGGCAAACGACCAGCAACUGAUGGUGAGCGAUCACCGUUACUUAUGAACCUCAGUAAUACCAGGGGCACAACCAAGCACAUAAUAGUUAAACUAUAAUACUUCUAAUUCUAAAAAUGCUGCUAAGCUCAAGAUGGGUGGCGGCGCAUUUACGUUGUAGAUGUCUAUGGAAUCCAGUAACCACUUAACACCAGGUGAGCUUUGAGCUCGUCCACCCAUCUAAGCAAUAAAAAAAAGAAACAUACUCAAAAUAAAUGAGUUUUAUUCAAAGCAAGUACGUAAGAUAGAUUGGCACUAUGAAGUAUUUUCUCGAAACAAGCAAAGCAAACUUCUAAGUCACUCGAUAACCGGUACAUAAAUCUGUGUAUUAGUCUGCUUCGGAAAUACUGAAAAGCCUUGAAGCUGUCAAAUAUUUGAGAGACAAGUUUGUCGACCACAAACAGUUAAGGUGCUUACGAAAUAACUUAGAUUUCUAAACUACAAGUCGAAACUAUUGCAUUUUUUGUUUUUUUUUAUGGAGACUCAAUUGUUUUUUUUUUAUCAUAAUAAAUUGAAUAUUCCUUUUGUAACUAAA